GGUGAAGUGGGUGAGUGGCUUAAACCACCAGUUUGCUAAACUGGCGUGCUGGAAACGGUACCGGGGGUUCGAAUCCCUCCUUCACCG
rnacentral:tRNA from 2 species